GGGGGGGUAUUCGUUUAAAUAUUAAUUUUAGUUGCUUUGGGUUUGUUUUUAUUGUUCACUGUGUUAUUGGGUUUGAUUGUUUGUCUAUGCCCCCGAAAGUUUUAUUUUGGCUUAGGAUUUCAGUGUAUCUUUUUUUACAUGCGUGGGGUUUAACUUAAAUAGGAUGUUUGCAGUAUUUUGCAU
rnacentral:rRNA from 1 species